rnacentral:rRNA from 1 species
CGCUGUCGUCAGCUCGUGUCGUGAGAUGUUGGGUUAAGUCCCGCAACGAGCGCAACCCACGUCUUUAGUUGCCAGCAUUAAGUUGGGCACUCUAGAGAGACCGCCGGUGAUAAACCGGAGGAAGGUGUGGAUGACGUCAAGUCAUCAUGCCCCUUAUAUCCUGGGCUACACACGUACUACAAUGCUACGGACAAAGGGCAGCAAACUCGCGAGAGCUAGCAAAUCCCAUAAACCGUGGCUCAGUUCAGAUCGUAGGCUGCAACUCGCCUACGUGAAGGAGGAAUCGCUAGUAAUCGCAGGUCAGCAUACUGCGGUGAAUACGUUCCCGGGCCUUGUACACACCGCCCGUCACACCAUGGAAGUUGGCCACGCCCGAAGUCGUUACUCCAACCCUUGUGGAGGAGGAUGCCGAAGGUGGGGCUGAUGACUGGGGUGAAGUCGUAACAAGGUAGCCGUACCGGAAGGUGCGGCUGGAUCACCUCCUAA